CUCACUCACACAUUCAAGGUAGAAGGUUUGUAAGGAGGAUGAGAGUAAAGGAUGAGUUGAUGUGCUUGGCGAAGUUUUGUUUGGAAAGGCAGACUUUUUCAGAUGCUUACUAAAUAAUUUGGGUUACUUGAAUUAAACGGACAUAAAUAUCAAACACUGCAGCUUAUCAGGUGUCCUCCUUUCCCCAUUGGCCGCUGAGCUUGACCCCAUCCCCCUCUGGAUCAAUUUUGUUUAGACGUACAGGACUGACCGGCCUUGUUUGUCGAUAGUAUUCAUGGACAGUGUGUAUUAGCCUUCUAACCUACCCCCGAUACUCAUCCACAGUGAUUUAGUGGAGCUGAGAACCAUGAAUCUACAGACAGGCAGUCGAGACGACGGACUGUAAAUAUUAAUGGAUGAAGCCUGGGUGAUGUCAUCCAUGUGUUACUGCAGGGGGCGCUGGAGGCUCAUCGGCAGCCGCCGCCAUGCUGGAAAUGCUGUCUCAUCUUAACCCCCAAUCCCCCCACAUACUCCACACGCCCUGCCCCAAUGGAUCCAUUUCUGGAACGUGAGCGCAGCCAUCCCGUGGGAAUAAAGAGAAAUACUACAA